UGAGGGAACAGCAAGAAGACAGCCAUCUGCAAAGAAGAGGGCUGUCACCAGACACUAGCUCUGCUGGCAUCUUGGACUUCCCAGCCUCCAGAAUGAUGGCCUGGGAAGCCCUCUGCACGCCUUUCUCAACUAAGGAAUUUGUGGAAGUAGAAUUUCUUCUGUUGACAGAAUUCUGCUGAGAACUGAAUUUUCUGCUGUUUUCAUUACUCUUUUCUAAAUGUUUCACAGUUCUGUUUUUUUUACAGCCAGAUUUCCAUUUGAUACUGGUUGUGGUUACACUAAAAGUAACAUCUAUGGCCAAAUGGCUGGAAAUUUUACAUUUUUGACACCGAGAUUUUUCCUGUACUUCACGGAGGGCAAGGGUUAUACCCUAUUUUUUCCCAGUCUCCCACAGUGCCCAACCCAGACGACCGUACAUAAUAAGCGCUUUAUUCUCAGCACUGCUGUAUGCCUCAUUGGAACAGGAUGCCCAAGGUGAUGGCUGCAGAAAUGGAUGGAUUGGAGCGUGACUUGCCAAGACAGGGCUGCUGUAACAAACUACUACAAACUUUGCCGCUUAAAAACAGAAAUGGCUUCCCUCACAGUUUCUGGAAGUCCAAGGUCCGGCAGGAUUGUGCUCCCCCUAGGAACCCUAAGGGAAGAUGCGUUCCUGGCCACCUCCAGCUCUGGUGGCUGCCUGGCUGCUUUCCUGUGCCUGAUAUCACAUCACCCCAUUAUCUGCCUCCGUUUUCACAUCGCUUUCUCCUCUUGUGUCUCUCCAAUCUCCUUCUGCCUCCCUCUUCUAAGAACACUUAUCAUCGGAUUUAUGACCCACUCAGAUAAUACAGGAUUAAUUCUUCCUCUCAAAACCCUUAAUUGCAUCCAUUGCCAAAUAAGGUAACAUUUACUCUUUUACCGAUAAGGUAAUACUCACAGGUUCUGAGAAUUAGGGCAUGGACAUAUCUUUUUGGGGCCCACCAUUCAGCGCACUACAUUUACACGAGAAAAUGAUAAUAUUCAAAAUAGCGUGAAAGUACCAAAACGAAGGUAGGCACUGUAGGAGACGAAAAUAGAGAUGAGGUAUGAGGGAGAUUCAGGGACCAGUCCGCAUGUUAUAAAUUUUCAAUCUCGCAAGCAUUCACAUUUUUUAAAUAUUGAAUUUUUGCCUUUGUUUUCUGCAAUCACCAAAGAUUUCAGGUUUUAUUAAAUAUCCAAAGUUGGUGGUGGCAUGGGAAAAGAACACUAUUUUACUGCUGGUAGAAGUACACAUGGAACUUUAAUAAAGCCAUCCUCAAAGA
ensembl:lncRNA LINC01418 long intergenic non-protein coding RNA 1418